rnacentral:rRNA from 1 species
GAUGAACGCUGGUGGCGUGCCUAAUACAUGCAAGUCGAGCGAACAGACGAGGAGCUUGCUCCUCUGACGUUAGCGGCGGACGGGUGAGUAACACGUGGAUAACCUACCUAUAAGACUGGGAUAACUUCGGGAAACCGGAGCUAAUACCGGAUAAUAUAUUGAACCGCAUGGUUCAAUAGUGAAAGACGGUUUUGCUGUCACUUAUAGAUGGAUCCGCGCCGCAUUAGCUAGUUGGUAAGGUAACGGCUUACCAAGGCAACGAUGCGUAGCCGACCUGAGAGGGUGAGCGGCCACACUGGAACUGAGACACGGUCCAGACUCCUACGGGAGGCAGCAGUAGGGAAUCUUCCGCAAUGGGCGAAAGCCUGACGGAGCAACGCCGCGUGAGUGAUGAAGGUCUUCGGAUCGAAAAACUCUGUUAUUAGGGAAGAACAAAUGUGUAAGUAACUAUGCACGUCCUGACGGUACCUAAUCAGAAAGCCACGGCUAACUACGUG